rnacentral:misc_RNA from 1 species
GUGAACGCCCUUCUGGGCUUAUAACUAUCCAAACCUCUGUGAACUGUGCCCUUCGGGGCUUUUAAUACAAACACUGUGUAAUGAACGUUAUUAUUUUAAUAAAACA